GUGCUUGAUUUGAGAGCACAUAUACUAAAAUUGGAAUGAUACACAGAAGAUUAGCAUGGCCCCUGUGCAAGGAUGACAAGCAAAUUCGUGAAGUGUUUCAUAUUUUU